CAAUGGAGAGUUUGAUCCUGGCUCAGGACGAACGCUGGCGGCGUGCUUCAUACAUGCAAGUCGAACGCGAAUCGGUAGCUUGCUACCGAGGAAAGUGGCGGACGGGUGAGUAAUGUGUAGAGAAUCUGCCCUAGAGCGGGGGACAACAGCUGGAAACGGUUGCUAAUACCCCAUAUGAGCGUAUCUGAAAUGGUAUUCUUGAAAACUCCGGUGCUCUAGGAUGAGUCUGCAUCUGAUUAGCUAGUUGGGGGUGUAAUGGACCACCAAGGCGACGAUCAGUAGCUGGUUUGAGAGGAUGAUCAGCCACAAUGGGACUGAGACACGGCCCAUACUCCUACGGGAGGCAGCAGUAGGGAAUUUUGCGCAAUGGGCGAAAGCCUGACGCAGCAACGCCGCGUGAUUGAAGAAGGUCUUCGGAUUGUAAAAAUCUUUUAUCAAGGACGAAGAAGUGACGGUACUUGAUGAAUAAGCUCCGGCUAACUACG
rnacentral:rRNA from 1 species